UGAAUACGAGACGCUAAGGCGUCGAAGUAGUGUAUGUCAUACUUCCAAGAAAAGCUUGCACUGUCAUAGAUAAAAAACGCCUGUACCAUAACCGACACAGGUGGGUAGGUAGAGUAUACUAAGGGGCGCGAGAUAACUCUCUCUAAGGAACUCGGCAAAAUAACUCCGUAACUUCGGGAGAAGGAGUGCCUUAUUCGUAAGGUUGCAAUAACAAGAUCCAAGCAACUGUUUAUCAAAAACACAGGUCUCCGCUAAGUCGUAAGACGAUGUAUGGGGGCUGACGCCUGCCCAGUGCCAGAAGGUUAAAGAAGUUGGUUAGCAAUUGCGAAGCUGAUAACUGAAGCCCUGGUGAACGGCGGCCGUAACAAUAACGGUCCUAAGGUAGCGAAAUUCCUUGUCGGGUAAGUUCCGACCCGCACGAAAGGCGUAAUGAUUUGGAUACUGUCUCGGAGAGGGGCUCGGUGAAAUAGACUUGUCUGUGAAGAUGCGGACUACCUGCACCAGGACAGAAAUACCCUAUGAAGCUUUGCUGUAACUUGAAAUUGAAAUUGGACUUUAUUCGCGCAGUAUAGGUGGGAGGCGUUGAUUAUAAUCUUGUGGGAUUAUUGGAGCCAUCAGUGAGAUACCACUCUUGUAAUGUUAGAUUUCUAACUUUGAAUCAUUAUCUGGUCAAAGAACAGUUUCAGGCGGGCAGUUUGACUGGGGCGGUCGCCUCCUAAACGGUAACGGAGGCGUACAAAGGUUUCCUCUGAACGGUUAGAAAUCGUAUCUAGAGUGUAAAGGCAUAAGGAAGCUUGACUGUGAGACCUACAAGUCGAGCAGGGACGAAAGUCGGUCUUAGUGAUCUGACGGUACUGAGUGGAAAGGCCGUCACUCAACGGAUAAAAGUUACUCUAGGAUAACAGGCUGAUCUCCCCCAAGAGUUCACAUCGACGGGGAGGUUUGGCACCUCGAUGUCGGCUCAUCGCAUCCUGGGGCGGUAGUACGUCCCAAGGGUUGGGCUGUUCGCCCAUGAAAGCGGUACGCGAGCUGGGUUCAGAACGUCGUGAGACAGUUCGGUCCAUAUCCGGUGUAGGCGUUAGAAUAUUGAGAGGAGCCUUCUUUAGUACGAGAGGACCGAGAAGGACAUACCUCUGGUGUACCAGUUAUCGUGCCAACGGUAAACGCUGGGUAGCUAUGUAUGGAGUGGAUAACCGCUGAAAGCAUCUAAGUGGGAAGCCCACCUCAAGAUAAGUAUUCUCAUC
rnacentral:rRNA from 1 species